rnacentral:rRNA from 1 species
GACGAACGCUGGCGGCGUGCUUAACACAUGCAAGUCGAACGGAAAGGCCCUGCUUUUGUGGGGUGCUCGAGUGGCGAACGGGUGAGUAACACGUGAGUAACCUGCCCUUGACUUUGGGAUAACUUCAGGAAACUGGGGCUAAUACCGGAUAGGAGCUCCUGCUGCAUGGUGGGGGUUGGAAAGUUUCGGCGGUUGGGGAUGGACUCGCGGCUUAUCAGCUUGUUGGUGGGGUAGUGGCUUACCAAGGCUUUGACGGGUAGCCGGCCUGAGAGGGUGACCGGCCACAUUGGGACUGAGAUACGGCCCAGACUCCUACGGGAGGCAGCAGUGGGGAAUAUUGCACAAUGGGCGGAAGCCUGAUGCAGCAACGCCGCGUGCGGGAUGACGGCCUUCGGGUUGUAAACCGCUUUCGCCUGUGACGAAGCGUGAGUGUCGGUAAUGGGUAAAGAAGCACCGGCCAACUACGUG